rnacentral:lncRNA from 1 species
CACCUCUUGUGUCGCAUUAAGCUUUCGCGUUGCCUGAAAGACGUAAAAAUGCUUUUUUAACGUUGUGUUGAGAAUGACAACGCGUUUGACAAUACUCAUGGGACCACAAAUUAUUGACAGUUUUUGUCUUGCAUGACAAAUUUCUUUGCAAGUUCUUUGUAGGUUUGCAGGGCGAUAAAACACAUAAUACCAUUGUUUGUGGAAACACCAAAUUUCUUUGUUUUGAAAGCGCGUCGUCGAGCCGGCCGCGUCGUAGAUCGUAAACUCCCUACUGUGGCGUAGUGUAAACUCCGAAUCCGGUAUGAAAAUCGCGACGCUCCGAUGCAAUCCGGUAUAGUGUAACCGGGGCCUUGGGUCAAACGAGAGUGCAGGAGUCACGUGACAUUGGUUAGCUGGCCAUAUCAUGUAUUUGAUUUAAGUCAGAACGUAGUUGGAAUAUUCAACAAACCUUUAUUUUGUUAAUCUAGAACUUGAAAUGUCCCCAGUAACAAUGCGUGACUGCUAACUCUCAUUCUCGUUUGACCGCAGUCAGGUACGCAACUCUUAAAUUAGAAUUGCACCACAGAAUAUGAAAGUUACAAAAGGUCGACUUCUUGCUUUUGCCUAUGAUUUUGGCAUAACCGUUGCAACGCUGUCGCAUUCACCCCCUGAACAUAUUCAAAAUGCGGAUGUUCAGCGGGGGUGGGGUGUGAAUGCCUCUCAUAAGCGCACUGGUUAGGAACAUGGCAUGGCAGCGGUUAAGCUUUUUUGGCUGAGUCGUUCUUCUGUAAGUUCUUAUUCUGUGAUUGCACUCAUAAAGCACUUCAUUCAUAAAAGGUGUUGCUUCUCUUUUCCUUUAGAUGUUCCCAUCAAGAGUUUCAUGCUUGCUUUACUGCUAGAUAUUUGCAGUAAUACUUGUUUACACAGGAAAUGAGGCAUCAUAGUUAACUUCACCAGAUGCAAUCUUGAAAAAAAUGGAGUCCUAAUUUCAGCUGAGUUUAUAACUACAUGCAAGAUAUUCCGCAGACUUUUCAAUUAUUUUUAAUUACUCUUAUAAACAAUUAAAUAUAAAUGUAAAUCAAUAUUAAAUAAUAUUUAUCAUAUCACUGUAAAUAAUUUUACCAGAUUUCAAAUCUUGGAAAAGCAGACGUAUGUUGUGUCUAUUUGUCAAUAGACAUAAAUAAUAAUGAUGAUAAUUCGUGCGCGGGCGGACAUUACAGCGCGCUCAUUUGCAUUAAGUACAGCUUUGGUUCGCACCAUAAGUAUUUCACGAAGUAUACUAGCUACUGAGUUGCAUCUCCAUGGUAAUGAACUGUAACAUGUUGUAUUAUGAGUUUUAAUCACAACGGUUAUCGUCCUCAUACUUUCGCUUGUAAAGUAGCUUAGUAAUAUGACAAGGCAUCUUCUAAGCCAUUACAACUACUGGGGCACAGCUUUAAAGAGAGCCUUUCCCCCCGUCUUCUAUACAUCUCAAGUGUAUAUAUUAAGACCACUCUGUAUUGACAUAUAUAGACAGAAUGUCAACAACGGUAGAGAAUAAAAGAAGUGUAGGCAGGUUUCUCAACGAGGUUGAGUCUGUUUAGAAAGGGCCCAGCACAUUUGGCAAUCUUGCUUCACUGCUGAGGCAAGCAGAAGGCCUACUGGGGUAAAUACCUCAGUAGUUAUAUAGUUAAAAAAUGCCCUGUAGUGUGACCCGAGGACCUAGCACAAGAAACGAGCUGGUAUUAGACUUAUUUCUUCACAGUUACUAAAGAAAAAUAAUUUAAUUAAACUCGAUCUUGAGAGGUGUCUAUGCCAUCGUCUGAUAGAUCGACUAAUAUUACUGAUGACGGUGAAGGUGCAAUAGUUCCAUAACCAGGCUGGUGAUUUUUUAACGCAAUUAUUUGACUCAAACGACGUUUAUGCAACAUUCUCAGUGACUUAGGGUUUCUUUCUAGUAACUAGAAAAGAAAAGAUUUCUAUAAAUAACAGGAAAGAUUUCUUCAGGGUAUAAAGAUUUUCGACUAUAUAUUAAAUGUGUGAAUUUUUUGCGCAGCUUCUUUUUUAGUAAAGUACAAAACAAUGGUAAUUCCGAACAAUUUCAUUAUUUUGAAUUUAAUAUCGAUGGUUUCGACAAAUGUUUAGUCAUUAUCAAUAUUAGUCGAAUAGGUCGAUGUUAAAAUGAUAUUAUUCGGAGUGAUCAUUAUUUUUUACUUUAUGAAAAUACUUAGUAGUUACUGAAAAUCCCUUGUUUAGGGCCAUGUUACACGAACUAGUUUUCAUGGAAUUUG